UACGUAGGUGGCAAGCGUUGUCCGGAAUUAUUGGGCGUAAAGCGCGCGCAGGCGGCCUUUUAAGUCUGAUGUGAAAGCCCACGGCUCAACCGUGGAAGGUCAUUGGAAACUGAAGGGCUUGAGUACAGAAGAGGAAAGCGGAAUUCCACGUGUAGCGGUGAAAUGCGUAGAGAUAUGGAGGAACACCAGUGGCGAAGGCGGCUUUCUGGUCUGUAACUGACGCUGAGGCGCGAAAGCGUGGGGAGCAAACAGG
rnacentral:rRNA from 1 species